UAGGGAAUCUUCGGCAAUGGGGGGAACCCUGACCGAGCAACGCCGCGUGAGUGAAGAAGGUUUUCGGAUCGUAAAGCUCUGUUGUUAAGGAAGAACGAGUGUGAGAAUGGAAAGUUCAUGCUGUGACGGUACUUAACCAGAAAGGGACGGCUAACUACGUGCCAGCAGCCGCGGUAAUACGUAGGUCCCGAGCGUUGUCCGGAUUUAUUGGGCGUAAAGCGAGCGCAGGCGGUUAGAAAAGUCUGAAGUGAAAGGCAGUGGCUCAACCAUUGUAGGCUUUGGAAACUGUUUAACUUGAGUGCAGAAGGGGAGAGUGGAAUUCCAUGUGUAGCGGUGAAAUGCGUAGAUAUAUGGAGGAACACCGGUGGCGAAAGCGGCUCUCUGGUCUGUAACUGACGCGGAGGCUCGAAAGGGUGGGGAGCGAACAGG
rnacentral:rRNA from 1 species